GACGAACGCUGGCGGCGUGCUUAACACAUGCAAGUCGAACGGUGAAGCGCCUUCCUUUUUGGUGGGUGUGGAUGAGUGGCGAACGGGUGAGUAACACGUGAGUAACCUGCCCCCUUCUUCUGGAUAACCGCAUGAAAGUGUGGCUAAUACGGGAUAUUCUGGGUCUGUCGCAUGAUGGGUUUGGGAAAGAUAUUGUUUCGGUGGGGGAUGGGCUCGCGGCCUAUCAGCUUGUUGGUGGGGUGAUGGCCUACCAAGGCGGUGACGGGUAGCCGGCCUGAGAGGGUGGACGGUCACACUGGGACUGAGACACGGCCCAGACUCCUACGGGAGGCAGCAGUGGGGAAUAUUGCACAAUGGGCGCAAGCCUGAUGCAGCGACGCCGCGUGAGGGAUGGAGGCCUUCGGGUUGUGAACCUCUUUCGCCAGUGAAGCAGGCCUGCCUCGUUUGUGGGUGGGUUGACGGUAGCUGGAGAAGAAGCGCCGGCUAACUACGUG
rnacentral:rRNA from 1 species